AGGCAAACUAUACCGUGAAACUGCGAAUGGCUCAUUAAAUCAGUUAUCGUUUAUUUGAUAGUACCUACUUACUUGGAUAACCGUGGUAAUUCUAGAGCUAAUACAUGCUAAAAACCUCGACUUUGGAAGGGGUGUAUUUAUUAGAUAAAAAACCAAUGCCCUUCGGGGCUCCCUGGUGAUUCAUAAUAACUAAACGAAUCGCAUGGCCUUGCGCCGGCGAUGGUUCAUUCAAAUUUCUGCCCUAUCAACUUUCGAUGGUAGGAUAGUGGCCUACCAUGGUGGCAACGGGUAACGGGGAAUUAGGGUUCUAUUCCGGAGAGGGAGCCUGAGAAACGGCUACCACAUCCAAGGAAGGCAGCAGGCGCGCAAAUUACCCAAUCCCGACACGGGGAGGUAGUGACAAUAAAUACUGAUGUGGAGCUCUUUAGGGUUUCACAAUUGGAAUGAGAAAAAUCUAAACCACUUAAACGAGGAACAAUUGGAGGGCAAGUCUGGUGCCAGCAGCCGCGGUAAUUCCAGCUCCAAUAGCGUAUAUUAAAGUUGUUGCAGUUAAAAAGCUCGUAGUUGAACCUUGGGCCUGGCCGGCCGGUCCGCCUCACCGCGUGCACUGGUUCGGCCGGGCCUUUCCUCCUGGGGAACCGCAUGCCCUUCACUGGGUGUGCCGGGGAAUCAGGACUUUUACUUUGAAAAAAUUAGAGUGUUCAAAGCAGGCAUUUGCUCGAAUACAUUAGCAUGGAAUAAUAGAAUAGGACGUUGUGGUUCUAUUUUGUUGGUUUCUAGGACCGCCGUAAUGAUA
rnacentral:rRNA from 1 species